GUUGGCUGCUUUGUGAAGAAGUAAGAGUGUGUGAUCUGAGGAGCAGCCUAUGAGAAAACACCAAGAAGCUGCAAUGGAACACACUCGUUGGAAUGGAUAUUUGACUUGUGCACAGGAUUUCAAGUCAUCAUGCUAGCAGAAUGGUGCCCCAAAAUGUAGGACCAGGAUGAUGUCUUCUUGAUGGCUGGUCCUUAAAGUUGGCAUGGCAUUGACUUAUAGAAGGUAGAGAAGCCCACUAGAGGGCUCACAGUGUGUGAAGACACCCAGCUUUCCUUUCAAGUCAACAGCUUUCCUGUUCUUCUGUGCAGGAUCUGACUGAGCUGGGAAGUAGCCCGCUAGCAUCUGGAAUAUAGGCGUAGAUGAAGAUAAACAGUUCUUUGGAGAAGACUUCCUAUUUCAUUCAGGAUGGAUAAAUGCUAAAGUGGUGCUGUGGGUUCAUCAGGACUGACAAUACCUUAACAUCUUUGUAUGGUGUAUCAACACGUUUUGGCCUUCUUGACAAUGAAAGAGUAUCUGUUGUAGCCAGAAAAGUCUUACAUAUCCUUUGAAUAACAUUAUAUUGAAGCCAGUAUUUCCACAA